rnacentral:rRNA from 1 species
AGAGUUUGAUCCUGGCUCAGGAUGAACGCUAGCGGCGGGCCUAAUACAUGCAAGUCGAACGGGAUUGGUAGCAAUACCAUGAGAGUGGCGAACGGGUGCGUAACACGUAUAUAAUCUGCCCAUUACUCGGGGAUAGCCUUGCGAAAGUGAGAUUAAUACCCGAUGGCACUGCGAGGAGGCAUCUUUUUGCAGUUAAAGAAUUUCGGUAAUGGAGGAAUAUGCGUCCGAUUAGCUAGUUGGUAGUGUAACGGACUACCAAGGCUACGAUCGGUAGGGGUUCUGAGAGGAUGAUCCCCCACACUGGUACUGAGAUACGGACCAGACUCCUACGGGAGGCAGCAGUAGGGAAUAUUGGGCAAUGGAGGCAACUCUGACCCAGCCACGCCGCGUGCAGGAUGAAGGCCCUCUGGGUUGUAAACUGCUUUUGUAUGGGAAGAAAAUGCUUCUGCGGAAGUGACUGACGGUACCAUACGAAUAAGCAUCGGCUAACUCGUGCCAGCAGCCGCGGUAAUAC